rnacentral:rRNA from 1 species
AGGUUAGUGCAAUGGCAUAAGCCAGCUUGACUGCGAGCGUGACGGCGCGAGCAGGUGCGAAAGCAGGUCAUAGUGAUCCGGUGGUUCUGAAUGGAAGGGCCAUCGCUCAACGGAUAAAAGGUACUCCGGGGAUAACAGGCUGAUACCGCCCAAGAGUUCAUAUCGACGGCGGUGUUUGGCACCUCGAUGUCGGCUCAUCACAUCCUGGGGCUGAAGUAGGUCCCAAGGGUAUGGCUGUUCGCCAUUUAAAGUGGUACGCGAGCUGGGUUUAGAACGUCGUGAGACAGUUCGGUCCCUAUCUGCCGUGGGCGCUGGAGAACUGAGGGGGGCUGCUCCUAGUACGAGAGGACCGGAGUGGACGCAUCACUGGUGUUCGGGUUGUCAUGCCAAUGGCACUGCCCGGUAGCUAAAUGCGGAAGAGAUAAGUGCUGAAAGCAUCUAAGCACGAAACUUGCCCCGAGAUGAGUUCUCCCUGAGACUUAGAGUCUCCUGAAGGAACGUUGAAGACGACGACGUUGAUAGGCCGGGUGUGUAAGCGCAGCGAUGCGUUGAGCUAACCGGUACUAAUGAACCGUGAGGCUUAACCUUACA